ensembl:lncRNA
UGCUUUUGCCCAAGAAGCUGCUCUCAGGGCAGAGGUGAAAGGAUGGACAGCCAGAUGAAGUGUGCUGGGGGAAUGCUGGGAAGAGAAGACAGCACCUCUACGUCUUCUUCAGCCCUGGUGUGCCUUGCACUAUGCUGUAGCACCUUGUUGUGGCUGUGCAGUUGAUCCCUGGUCAGACCCAGGCUGGGAUUGCCUUCAUUUAGACCUCAAAUGCAUCCUCUAUAGACAGGCCAGCACUGCUCUGAUGCACCCACAGAAGGUACAAAAACCAAAGGCUGCCCUACAGGGAAUGCCCUAUCACUGAAGCUCUGGGCUGCAAUGCACCUCGUCAUUCAGACCAACCAAUGGGUAAGAGCAGGAUUCAGUGGCUGACAGCACACGGAUCCCCUGCCCUCCCACAGACCUCCUCCCACUCCUGUUAUUAUGGUAAAGGUUUAUCUCAGCUGUGAGCCCAACUCAGACUCCUCAUUAAUCUCCACCUAAAAGCACUGGCAAUGGAGCAGCCUGAUGUACCAUCACCUACCUGAGCACCAGGGGGACUGAACGCUAAGAAAAUAAAAAACACAGCAGAGCCAGAAGAAGACAGAAUGCAACCAGACCUGAACGUGGCCACGGAUGUCACUCCAAGCAGCUGGCCUGCACAGAGCACUGUAGGAAAGGAGGCACAAAUGGAGCAGCGCUGUGCUGCUGUUGGGCAGGAGCUGCGACACCAAAGAAGGGAGCCAUGGUUUGGCUCUUCCCAAGCUAACAGCUCUCUUCUAACUCAAAAUGCUUCUCCGUACAAAGUCCACGGAAGCCUUUGAGAUCUGUUUGCUUCCUGGGGACAUUUUCUUUGCCUUAUUUUUUCUCCUUUUUUGCUGCUGUCACAGAGCUGGGGUUGGCUGUUUGCUUGGGACGUGUGGGCAGGAGCCCAGGGGAGAGGGGGAAAGAGCAGACCUAAUUACAGGGGAUGCUCUCAAAAAUAGAGCUGCUUUUCCCCUGCUCCGUGAGCUGGUGUCAGAGAUCCUGUGUGGCUGCAACGUGACCACAUCCUGCCAUCCUGCCCCCAAACAAUUACAUCAAAAAGGAAAAGCCAUCAGGACUGGCAGUGCUCAGCUGGGGAGGAGCAGCAGGAGCGACAUGCCGGAUCCUGGGGGUGCACACAGACCUUCUUGGUGAAGAAAACCAAGCACUGCUUUGCCUCGCUGAGUUGACGAAUCCUACUGUGCCCAUAUUGCAGGAGUCUGGGGGAGAAAGACUGUAAGAAGAGGGGUUUUGCAGUCCACCUGCUGAAAAAGAUGGAGAUGUUUGUGUUGUGUCAGUCAACUGGGUCAGAAUGGCACUUACCAGCACUGCACUGGUGCAAAUAAGGGCAGCACAGUGAGUGCAGGGUUAGAAGCGGUGUCCAUGGGAUCCCUGUGCCUGUUUGCUGUCUUAGUUCAACAUUCAACAAGUCCUGAAGGGCUGAGGGGGGGGUAUGCACAGAGCACACCCUGGCUGCACGCUCAUUGACCUGCAAUGCACGGAGGGUGAGAUGGUCACACGUAACCACUUCCCAGGCAGGGCAGCAGUUAAUGAUGUGUCGUCAGCCCAUUCUGAAUUCUCAUUCUGGGGGAUUAAACUGCAAAAACUUGCCUUGCCCUGGGCAGAAGCUCAGCUUGGAGAGCCGUAUUUUCCUUGUCUUUUGAAGAAAUUCUGAGGUCCUUUAGCAACAUCUGUGGUCAAAAGGACGUUUUCUAGUGGCAGACUCUGAGAAAAUCCCAGCUUCACCCACAUGGGGCUGCAACAGCAGUAGCAAAAAGUGAACGUGACCACUCUUGAGAAAGCCCUGUGCAGAGUUUGUUCUUUGUCGGGGUCACCACCUCUGAAGGCUUUGUUUUCCUUGCGCUUCCAGAGCCUGGAUUUGGGGAUGAGGCUGGGGAGAGGCUUUGUGUGCUGUAACCAUUCCUCUUCCUAAGGCCGAUGGAAGUGCUGGGUUAACACAUGCAGUGGGAUGGGCAGUGGCUUCAGAAUGUAUGGGUAGACUGUAACUGAUCACCUGGGACAGACGCAUGGCUUGCAAGGACAUUGGAAAGCCAGGAACUGCAAAAUGAGCAGGGAAAAGGCUGCAGGGACUGUUGGUGAGAUGGCUCCAGGGCUGCAGGCAUUCCAGCAAUGGGGCAGAAGUCAUGGAAAGUUCUCUGGGAAACAAACUGAACAGGAAACAAUACUGUUAUAUAAGUACACAGAGAGGCUGCGGCUGCACCCAUAAAGCUUUCACAGGGCUAUUUGUCAUUUACUGACAGCACAGAAACAUGAACCAUAAAAC